GGAAGUAAAAUCGUAACAAGGUUUCCGUAGGUGAACCUGCGGAAGGAUCAUUAUUGUAUACCCGAGGUGCGAGGGCUGUCGCUGACCCGAAAGGUCGUGCACGCCCGAGUGCCCUCACACACAUCCAUCUCACCCCUAUGUGCACCACCGCGUGGGUCCCCCUUUGGCUUGUUCGGAGGGGGGCUUACGUUUUCACACAAACUUUGUAUGCAGUGUAGAAUGUAUUUUUUGUUUUUGCGAUCACGCAAUCAAUACAACUUUCAACAACGGAUCUCUUGGCUCUC
rnacentral:misc_RNA from 1 species